GAAUAAAAGUAUUUCUUUAGUGAAUAAAAAAAGUACCAUGAAUACCGUAUAAAACUCAUAUUAUUGGUUUGGUUGAUUGGGUUACCGCUGUAUACGCCGUAUACUGGGUUGAUCACGCAAAAAAGGAUCCUACUAGUUUUCCCGGGAUUGUGAUAAAAAUAAUUAUUACACCUGUGAUAACAAAAACAAAACAACAAACAAUCGGACAUCCUUUGCACAAUGGGUGGACUUCUGUAGUAGGUGAGAAAUUAAGAAGGUAGAUGUAUGCAACAAUUAAUCAUUGCUAACGAAAAACGAUUCUGAACGGAGUUCGGUUAUACAUAUUUUGAAAGGCUGU